GACGAACGCUGGCGGCGUGCCUAAUACAUGCAAGUCGAACGAAAAGACGAGGAGCUUGCGCGUCUGACGUUAGGGGAGGAGGGGAGAGAAACACGUGGAUAACCUACCUAUCAGAGUGGGAUAACUACGGGAAACCGGCGCUUAUACCGGAGAAGAUAUUGAACCGCGUGGGGCGAUGGUAAGAGUCGGUUGUGCGGUCAGUAAUAGCUGGAUACGAGCCGGAUUGGCUGGUUGGGAAGGUAAAGGGUUACCAAGGCAAGGAGGCGUAUCCGACCUGAGAGGGUGAUCGCCGACCCUGGAACUGAGACACGGUCCAGACUCCUGCGGUAGGCAGCAGUAGGGAAUCUUCCGCAAUGGGCGAGAGCUUGACGGAGCAACGCCGCGUGAGUUAUGAAGGUCUUCCGAUCGUAAAACUCUGUUAUUAGUUAAGAACAAAUGUGUAAGUACCUAUGCACGUCUUGACGGUACCGGAUCAGAAAGCCCCGGCUAACUACGUG
rnacentral:rRNA from 1 species